CCUCCAAAUCCCAUGCUUAGGUCUCCAUCUAUACGGUCGUGAAACUCUGAAAACAUUUUGUUUUUUUAUUUUUAGGUCAAAAUUAUUAUGUAACACCAUAACAUGAUAUACCAGUAUAAGAUCAAAAUUUACAUUGCUUUUUUUGUUUUGUUUUACAUUGUUUAUGUUGAAAUCUCGAACAUUAGAAGCACCAUUGAAAAUUCAUCAUCUUCAAUUAGCUUAAAUUAGGUCCAACAACUACUUUAAUCUUUAAAGCAUACAGAUAACUUUAGAAUUCAAAAUUAAAUAGCAUUUGCAGAUAAAAAUACAUUAUUUUUUAAUUACACACUACACACAGUUUUAUCUCAAUAACAAGAUCACUAUAUUCAAAGUAACUGAAAUAAAUACUUAUUGAUUGAGUCUGUAAAUGCAAUAAAAGGUGUGAGUAUGAUCGAUUUGCAUGUGGGGUCGCAAAGAAUUUUAUGCAACAUAAACUCUCAUCACCAUCUUAGUUAUUUUUUUUUUUUUGUGUGUAAAAAUCUUAGAAGACAACCAUCGCUUCUUUUUAUUAAGUCUAGAACCAAAUUUUACAAGAACUUGUUUUUUCCUUACUCUUUCAAACUGGAUCAAUUCUACUUGUUGACCAGGGAACAAGAAGAAGAUCAAGAUGUUUGUGUGUAUUCACUCAAUUAACUUUUGAUUUGUGGAUGUGUCUGUUAUUUGUUGAGUAUUGUUGUUGUUUUUAAUUCAAAAAUGAGUCAUUGUAAUCACAAUAAAUUUCACAUAAGUAUCAAUAAAG